UGACCUCAAAUCAGGUAGGACUACCCUGCUGAACUUAAGCA
rnacentral:rRNA from 3 species